UGUUCGUUAUUUAGGGCGCAUGGUGGAUGCCUUGGCAUGCUGAGCCGAUGAAGGACGUGAAAGGCUGCGUUAAGCCUCGGGGAGUUGUCAAUUGAGCGUUGAUCCGAGGAUGUCCGAAUGGGGAAACCUGGCACCUGUUAUGGGGUGUUACCCUUCAGUGAAUUCAUAGCUGUUGUGGGGGUUACGCGGGGAAGUGAAACAUCUCAGUACCCGUAGGAGAAGAAAAUAAUAAUGAUUCUGCUAGUAGUGGCGAACGAACGUGGAUGAGGCUAAACCGUGUGCAUGUGAUACCUGGUAGGGGUUGUGUGUGCGGUGUUGUGGGCCCUGAUGAGGAUGGCUACUGACGUCCUGCCCGCGCAUUGUUGUUAGGUGAAGUGGUGUGGAAACGCCUGCCGUAGAAGGUGAUAGUCCUGUAGCUGAAGAUGAUGGUGUGUGGGUUGUUGGGUUGCCCGAGUAGCAGCGGGCUCGUGGAAUCUGCUGUGAAUCUGCCGGGACCACCCGGUAAGCCUAAAUACUCAGUGUGACCGAUAGUGGAUAGUACCGUGAGGGAAUGGUGAAAAGUACCCCGGGAGGGGAGUGAAAUAGUUCCUGAAACCAUGUGCUUACAAUCCGUCAGAGCAC
rnacentral:rRNA from 1 species